rnacentral:rRNA from 1 species
UUGUUGGUAAGGUAAAGGCUUACCAAGGCUUCGAUCAGUAGCUGGUCUGAGAGGACGGCCAGCCACACUGGGACUGAGACACGGCCCAGACUCCUACGGGAGGCAGCAGUGGGGAAUUUUGGACAAUGGGGGAAACCCUGAUCCAGCCAUGCCGCGUGAGUGAAGAAGGCCUUCGGGUUGUAAAGCUCUUUCAGCCGGAACGAAACGGUUACGGAUAAUACCCGUGACUACUGACGGUACCGGAAGAAGAAGCACSGGCUAACUACGUGCCAGCAGCCGCGGUAAUACGUAGGGUGCGAGCGUUAAUCGGAAUUACUGGGCGUAAAGCGUGCGCAGGUGGUUUUGUAAGUCAGAUGUGAAAGCCCCGGGCUCAACCUGGGAACUGCGUUUGAAACUACAAGACUAGAGUGUGGCAGAGGGGGGUGGAAUUCCGCGUGUAGCAGUGAAAUGCGUAGAGAUGUGGAGGAACACCGAUGGCGAAGGCAGCCCCCUGGGUUAACACUGACACUCAGGCACGAAAGCAUGGGGAGCAAACAGGAUUAGAUACCCUGGUAGUCCAUGCCCUAAACGAUGUCAACUAGUUGUCGGGCCUUUACGGGCUUGGUAACGUAGCUAACGCGUGAAGUUGACCGCCUGGGGAGUACGAUCGCAAGAUUAAAACUCAAAUGAAUUGACGGGGACCCGCACAAGCGGUGGAUUAUGUGGAUUAAUUCGAUGCAACGCGAAAAACCUUACCUACCCUUGACAUGUAUCGAAGCCCGCAGAAAAGCGGGGGUGCCCGAAAGGGAACGAUAACACAGGUGCUGCAUGGCUGUCGUCAGCUCGUGUCGUGAGAUGUUGGGUUAAGUCCCGCAACGAGCGCAACCCUUGUCAUUAAUUGCCAUCAUUUAGUUGGGCACUUUAAUGAGACUGCCGG